AAAACAAUCCUACGGGAGGCAGCAGUGGGGAAUUUUGGACAAUGGGCGCAAGCCUGAUCCAGCCAUGCCGCGUGCAGGAUGAAGGCCUUCGGGUUGUAAACUGCUUUUGUACGGAACGAAACGGCCUUUUCUAAUAAAGAGGGCUAAUGACGGUACCGUAAGAAUAAGCACCGGCUAACUACGUGCCAGCAGCCGCGGUAAUACGUAGGGUGCAAGCGUUAAUCGGAAUUACUGGGCGUAAAGCGUGCGCAGGCGGUUAUGUAAGACAGUUGUGAAAUCCCCGGGCUCAACCUGGGAACUGCAUCUGUGACUGCAUAGCUAGAGUACGGUAGAGGGGGAU
rnacentral:rRNA from 1 species